UGAAAAUUUUAUUCUAGUUUUAAUAAUUCAUUUUUUAAUUAUUUUAUAUGUGAAUUUAAGUGUGAAGGUAAUAUAUCUUGAUGGUAGGUUUUUAUUCGCAGUAUUGAGUAUUAAUAAUUAAGGUAACUUAGAAUUAGUAAUUUAAUUUAAUAUUGGCUAAAAGCGUGCCAGCAGCCGCGGUUAUACGUAGGAUAUAAGUGAAUUUUUUUAGUUAGGAGUUAAUUUGUGAUUAAUAAAUGUUAAUUUAUUUUUGAAGGUGGAAUUUAUAUAAUUGAAUAAUUUUAUGUAAUUAAAAUGAGGCUUUGAAAUUCUGAUUUUAGACUAGGAUUAGAUACCCUAUUAUAUGGAAAGUAAAUAAAGUGGCUUGAGUAGUAGUAGUUAAGUUCUUGAAACUCAAAGAAUUUGGCGGUGUUUUAGUCUUGUCAGAGGAAUUUGUCCUAUAAUUGAUGAUACGCAUUUUAGUUUACUUAAUUUUGAAAGUUCAGUUUGUAUAUCGCCGUCAUAAGAGUAUCUUGGGAGAGUAUUUUCUUAAUUUUGUAUAUAAAAAGAUGUCAGGUCAAGGUGCAGCUAAUGAUUAAGUGGGAGAUGAAUUACAAUAAAGGUAUUUAUAAUGAAUUUUGAUUUGGAAAGGUUAAUUGAAGGUGGAUUUGAAAGUAAUAUUAUUUUAUUAUAAUAGUGUGAUUAUGGCUCUAGAACAUGCACACAUCGCCCGUCGCUCUCGCUAUAAGGUGAGAUAAGUCGUAACAAAGUAGGUGUACUGGAAAGUGUGCCUAGUUAGAU
rnacentral:ncRNA from 1 species